rnacentral:rRNA from 1 species
UACAGAGGUCCCAAGCGUUGUUCGGAUUCAUUGGGCGUAAAGGGUGCGUAGGCGGCGCCGUAAGUCGGAUGUGAAAUCUCGGGGCUCAACCCCGAAACUGCAUUCGAUACUGCGGUGCUAGAGGACUCUAGAGGAAACUGGAAUUCACGGUGUAGCAGUGAAAUGCGUAGAUAUCGUGAGGAAGACCAGUGGCGAAGGCGGGUUCUGGAGAGUUCCUGACGCUGAGGCACGAAGGCCAGGGGAGCAAACGGG